rnacentral:rRNA from 1 species
UACAGAGGUCCCAAGCGUUGUUCGGAUUCACUGGGCGUAAAGGGUGCGUAGGCGGUCGGGUAAGUCUGACGUGAAAUCUUCAAGCUCAACUUGGAAACUGCGUCGGAUACUAUUCGGCUAGAGGAAUGGAGGGGAGACUGGAAUACUUGGUGUAGCAGUGAAAUGCGUAGAUAUCAAGUGGAACACCAGUGGCGAAGGCGAGUCUCUGGACAUUUUCUGACGCUGAGGCACGAAAGCCAGGGGAGCAAACGGG